UUUUCUUUUACUUUAUUUCUUUAUUUAUCAUCUACAUUCACUUUUAUUUUUUAUAUUUUAUUAUUAUGUAUAUACACAUUUUUUUUUUUUUUUUUAAUGUUUUGUGCUGAAAUAAGAGCUAGUUUCUGAAAGUUGAAUGAAGAUGGCAACACUGGCUGGUCCAAGACACCGCAGGAUGACAACAAACGUUCCGUGACGGCUGGUGAGUAUAGUUGUGACAGCUGCAGAAUCUGCCCCUCCCACGCCACACAUUGCACGGGGAACACUAACAGACAGUUACUGACAGAGUGAAAGGUGCAUAAAGUGCAGGCGAUACCAAAAAGUGUAGUUCAAUGUUUUGGUCCUGAAGAUUCUACCGUAUUAUUCAAUGAGAAGAGGGGUGUAAACGUGUGCGUGGACUGCCGCAGGUAAGGGUAUCUCAAGGUAAAGUUGAUUAAGACAAGUUUAGGUGUAGUUGUAGGCUUUGGGUUUUAAGGAAACACAGACGAGGAGGAUGCAAAUCAGGCCAGUAACUUUUGGGUCACAACUGUGAUAUCAUCAAUGAGUGCCUACGGAAGCCCUGCCUGCACGGAGGGCCUGCCAUAACCUUCAGCCAGGGUUCCGGUGCAUCUGCGAGCCAGGAGACUCAGGGGAGUUCUGUCAGUGGACGGAGCUGCCUGCUGUUGGCUCAGGGCUCGCUGCUCCGCUGAUCAUUAAUGCUAUUUCACUUUCUGUGCUUUUCCUUGUGGUGCUGGUCCUGCUGGUUUCACUGCGGCUCCGACGCCAUCGCCAGAUGUGAGCUUCUGUCCAACAAGGAUGGGAGACUUUUGGAUGUCCAGCAGCAUACAUGCUUUCAGAGACACCUGUGGCAAGUGCAAAACAGAGAGGGAUGAGGGUGCAGGAUGCUAUAAUGUUCACAGCAUAAUUAGUUCAAGAUUUCUUUUUUGUGAAAGGUGUAGGUAGUGCACAUGGUUUCAACCACAGGAUUGCAUGUUUUCAUAUUCACAGAUUUCACGACUUGACAUUGUGGUCAUUCCAGUGUGCAUCAAGUCAUUUGAUUUUAUGUACCACAUGGUUAUUUAGCUAGCUAGGAGUAACAUCUUAUAAAAUUUUACUAUUUAUAAGAUAAAAUUUUACUAUUUAUAAGAGAUCUUGCAUUAUGAAGAUUUGUUUAAAGUUCCUAGCUUGGCCUUUGUUUAUCACCAUCAUCUAGUUCAGUCAGUCUUUCUCAGCCUGCUAAAUUCAUGCAAUUUGUCAGUCAUUUACUUUGGUGAUGGUGUCAGUUCAAAGCCUGCAUAUCAGUCCUUUACUACUUGAGCCACCUCUCCCAGCACACUCACACAUCCAUCUCACUGUGUUCCCUUCAGUCUGUUCCAAGUCUUUCAUUUUGUGCUUAAUGGUUCAAAUUGCACAAACAUGAUGCAGUGCAUUUCCUGCUGAUGGAAGUUCACAGUCAUAACUGCAAGGUCUCUGUGCAGUUCUUGUAGCCAAAUGUGGUAGUUAUUCCUUUAUGUAAAUGUCUCAUUUAGGGAAGAAAUGUUGUGUAAUUGGUUUCAUAUACAUUUCUGAGACAUUUAGGCUGAGAAUAUUUAGAUUAUAUAGUCAGCUUCUCAACUUUAUAGAACUUUGAUUGCUUUGAUUGCUGUUACUAAGUUUUAUAUUAGACUCCUGAAUGAAGGUAAAGAAAAUUAGAAAAUUGUACUAAGUUGAAAAUUUACCCAAGACUUUUUUGUAAUUGAAAAUUGUCCCAAAAUGCUUAAAGUUGUUCUAAGUUGAAAAUUGAUGAAGACUUUCAUAGUGAAAAUUAUUAGAAAAUGAGAUUGGAAAGAGUAAUGAAAAUUGUGUAAUGAAAAUUGUGUAAUUGAAAAUUGUGUAAUUGAAAAUUGUGUAAUUGAAAAUUGUCUAAUUAAAGUAAUUAAGUGUAUGGAGACUUAUUUUAGGAGACUUAUUUUAGCUGGAACAUACAUCUGCCUCGUCUCCGGAGACUCUUCAGAGUAUUUUCGACUUAGCACAGUUAGUUUUUUGGCAUGUUUUGCAGGGGUUUUGCACAGUUUUUUGGCAUGUUUUGCAGGGUUUUUUCCCUAUUUUCUAGCAGUUUUUUUGUAGGGUUUUUUCCAAAUUUUCUGGCCUGUAGGAAUUUUUCCCAAUUUUCUGGCCCUUUUUGCAGGGAUAUCUACCUAGCAGUUUCCAGGGAAUCUUGAAUUUUUGGCUCAUUUUGGCGGGAUUUGGCUCAUUUUGGUGGGAUUUGGGUCAAUUUUGGCGGGAUUCAGUUUCGUCAAACUUUUGGGCAUUUUUCUGCUAAAAAAAUUGGGUAAAAUUUUUUUUAGGUUUCCUAGUAGGCAGAGUUGGUGGCCAUUUAUUUUUUUUAAAUAUAAUUAUGGUAGCUAAUAAAUUGCCAUUUCCGAAUG